AAUAGAAUGGCCGAGGAGUGUAGGCGAUAAAUUGUAAAUUUAUUUACGGGAAUGUGUUCCUUCUAUUA
rnacentral:tRNA from 1 species